CCUGGGGCGGGGGUGCUAUACAUGCAAGUCGAACGAACUCUGGUAUUGAUUGGUGCUUGCAUCAUGAUUUACAUUUGAGUGAGUGGCGAACUGGUGAGUAACACGUGGGAAACCUGCCCAGAAGCGGGGGAUAACACCUGGAAACAGAUGCUAAUACCGCAUAACAACUUGGACCGCAUGGUCCGAGUUUGAAAGAUGGCUUCGGCUAUCACUUUUGGAUGGUCCCGCGGCGUAUUAGCUAGAUGGUGGGGUAACGGCUCACCAUGGCAAUGAUACGUAGCCGACCUGAGAGGGUAAUCGGCCACAUUGGGACUGAGACACGGCCCAAACUCCUACGGGAGGCAGCAGUAGGGAAUCUUCCACAAUGGACGAAAGUCUGAUGGAGCAACGCCGCGUGAGUGAAGAAGGGUUUCGGCUCGUAAAACUCUGUUGUUAAAGAAGAACAUAUCUGAGAGUAACUGUUCAGGUAUUGACGGUAUUUAACCAGAAAGCCACGGCUAACUACGUGCCAGCAGCCGCGGUAAUACGUAGGUGGCAAGCGUUGUCCGGAUUUAUUGGGCGUAAAGCGAGCGCAGGCGGUUUUUUAAGUCUGAUGUGAAAGCCUUCGGCUCAACCGAAGAAGUGCAUCGGAAACUGGGAAACUUGAGUGCAGAAGAGGACAGUGGAACUCCAUGUGUAGCGGUGAAAUGCGUAGAUAUAUGGAAGAACACCAGUGGCGAAGGCGGCUGUCUGGUCUGUAACUGACGCUGAGGCUCGAAAGUAUGGGUAGCAAACAGGAUUAGAUACCCUGGUAGUCCAUACCGUAAACGAUGAAUGCUAAGUGUUGGAGGGUUUCCGCCCUUCAGUGCUGCAGCUAACGCAUUAAGCAUUCCGCCUGGGGAGUACGGCCGCAAGGCUGAAACUCAAAGGAAUUGACGGGGGCCCGCACAAGCGGUGGAGCAUGUGGUUUAAUUCGAAGCUACGCGAAGAACCUUACCAGGUCUUGACAUACUAUGCAAAUCUAAGAGAUUAGACGUUCCCUUCGGGGACAUGGAUACAGGUGGUGCAUGGUUGUCGUCAGCUCGUGUCGUGAGAUGUUGGGUUAAGUCCCGCAACGAGCGCAACCCUUAUUAUCAGUUGCCAGCAUUAAGUUGGGCACUCUGGUGAGACUGCCGGUGACAAACCGGAGGAAGGUGGGGAUGACGUCAAAUCAUCAUGCCCCUUAUGACCUGGGCUACACACGUGCUACAAUGGAUGGUACAACGAGUUGCGAACUCGCGAGAGUAAGCUAAUCUCUUAAAGCCAUUCUCAGUUCGGAUUGUAGGCUGCAACUCGCCUACAUGAAGUCGGAAUCGCUAGUAAUCGCGGAUCAGCAUGCCGCGGUGAAUACGUUCCCGGGCCUUGUACACACCGCCCGUCACACCAUGAGAGUUUGUAACACCCAAAGUCGGUGGGGUAACCUUUUAGGAACCAGCCGCCUAAGGUGACAAGAGUUUG
rnacentral:rRNA from 1 species